rnacentral:lncRNA from 1 species
UAUUCCCAGAUGUGAAAUUCAACACCUCUUCCAUAAACAUCAGCACCUACACUGCACAGAAACACAUAGCAGGAUUUGAAGAAGAUCUCAUGUAGCAUAAGGAGAGAGCUGAUGUCACAGUAACCACGUAACCUGAAAACUAAGGUAACAUGGAUCUCUCCCAGGAGUGAUGGAAUACAAAUACUGGCUCACCUGUGGCAUCAGAAGAAAAAUAGCACCUCUCUGAAAGCAGGCUCUUUUUCAUGAACGUCUACUGGGUGCUCAUAAGAAAGAAUGGUGGUGCGGAGAAGAUUGGACAGUAUCUCCUUGGUGAGGCAGGCUAGAGAGAAGAAGAACCACCAGUGUAGAAAGAAAUGAAAUGCACUAAAGACCCUACAAAACAAAACCCCGAAAUCCCUGAGGAAAAGGUAGUACAUCUCAGCAUCCCUAGAACAUGGUGAAGACCCAUUGUAGCUGCAAUAUAUGUCGAAGAAAAGAAACCCGGCACUGUAGAAAGGAAGAAAUGCAUCCUGUGCCCAGACCAUGAGAAAUCACUGUCUGUUGGGAGAGGAGCUGAGUCACAGAGAAAUGACCACUCAUGCAGCAUAGCAACACAGGUCCCUAAGAUUGAAACAGGACUGAAACAGGACAACUAAGAACCCACCGUCAUACCUACCACCCACUUUAGCAAACAUCAAAACGUAAGAAAGAGAGGACUACUGCUGAGAGAAGGACAGAAGGGUAGAGAAAAGAUCUAUUCAUAGUAAAGGCACACCUGGACAGCCUAAGGUCUCUGUGAAAAAUUGAAGGGAAAACCACUCACCCAUGUAUCCAUAAUUUCUUGGUAUAUGAUUCUCUUCAAACCAACUAAACUCCUGUCUAAAUUACCUCAAUUCGCAAGUCAAUAACCUAGCAGAAAGAGUUGGUCCAUUUCCAGGCAUAAGUACUGUGCAGUUUCUGCUUUCUAAAUACUAUAUCUGACAAUGAAUGGAAACAUUCAAGAUACAAAAAAGCAAGGAAAAAACCCCACAAUACGCUAUCAGGAGACAAUAUCUUCAACAGAAUGAGACUAAGAGAGCCAUAUAUGUUGGAAUUAGUAGGUAGAAAAUUCAAAUUAACUAUGAUUACUAUGAUAACAUCUCUCAUGAAAAAGUUAUAAACAAAUAAGAAACUUCAGCAGAAAGUUAGAAACUCUAAGAGUAAAAUGGAAAUAACAAAUUCAGCUUAAAUUUGAUUGCUGUAUACAUGACUAUUUUUAUAUCUUGUUACUCUUUCCCUCUUGUUACUUUAAUCUAUUGCAUUUUUUAUAUUUAAAAUAAAUUGUUUAUUCUAGGCACA